GAGGGUGGCAGAGCCCAGCCACCAGGGUCUGCUCCAUGCCUGGUCCCUGGAGAGGCCCUCACCCUCUCUGCUUUCACCCAACCCGACUGACACGGAGUAGGAGGUGGGAAUCAUGCAGGCAGGGAGCUUAGGAAGCCUGGUUCAAGAUUGCUUUGAAUGGCAGGCCCCCUGCUGUGCUCCUGGGGAGAGAGCCUGAAACCUGGAUGCUCGGGAGCCCCUCAGAUCCGUCAUCUGUCCCCGACACCCCUGUGGUGAGCCUUGCCACUGGGCCCUGAGAAGCUCAGAGCAGUCGAGUCAGGGCAGUGGGACAUGACCCAGGUCAGAUGUGGCUUUUCCGUAAUUGUACACCAAUGAUCAAGAGAAAAUGAAGGAUUUUAAUAUCCAGGAAGAUCCUCCGCCUCAGUGCCAGGCCACUGCCCACCACAUGGGAGCAGGAACCAGGGCAUGGGCAGGCAGAAGAGCAGGCGGAGUGGCUGAGAUCCUGAAACUGAGGCUCAGAGAGCAGAAGCAGCUUGGCCAAAGUCAUACAACUGGUAGUUGGUAAAGGAGCUGGCCUUGAACUCAGGGAUAUCUUGAAAGCCACUGUUGCUUCUAUGGACUCUAGCCAUUCAAAAGACCCCUCACCUUCUAUAAGACCCCAGGAGAUCCUCAGGGUCCAACUGCUCCCUUGAAAACAGGUCCCAGAUAUAUCUGCCAAAGGUAUGAUUAGGUGCCUAAACACAUACCAUGAGAAAGGGAUUCCAUGUCUUCCAAUCCUGCCCAGAGAUGCAGAGACACCACCACCCAGGGAGAGAUAGCCAGAAACUAAAAUAAGAUGUUAGAGACAGGUGGUUGAUAGUGACAGAUACAGCCACACCAAGACAGGCUCAAAGGGAGGAAGACUGAGGGGAAGCCAGAGACAGAGAGGGACACAUUAGGCCAAAGAAUGAGAGAGAUAGCUGGAAAAGGAGACAAUAGGAGUAGAGGAGGGUACAGGCUGACAUGAAAAAACACCGACAGAUACACUCCAGUAUGCAGACAGACACAUAUAGACCCAUCUGACCUUCACAAGAAACAGACUGUGAAAGCAAGCAAGGCUCAGGCUGUGUGUGGUGUGCGUAUGUGUGUGUGCGUAUUGUGGGGGGAGCAUGCAGAGUCUGUAUAGCUACGCACAUUACACCAGCUGCUUCCAGCAAUUUCAUCUGAUUAAUAAUAAAUGCCCCAUAAUUACAGCC
rnacentral:lncRNA from 1 species